rnacentral:rRNA from 1 species
UGGGGAAUAUUGCACAAUGGGCGAAAGCCUGAUGCAGCAACGCCGCGUGAGUGAUGAAGGCCUUCGGGUUGUAAAGCUCUGUCUUUUGGGACGAUAAUGACGGUACCAAAGGAGGAAGCCACGGCUAACUACGUGCCAGCAGCCGCGGUAAUACGUAGGUGGCAAGCGUUGUCCGGAUUUACUGGGCGUAAAGGAUGCGUAGGCGGAUUUUUAAGUGAGAUGUGAAAUACCCGGGCUUAACUUGGGUGCUGCAUUUCAAACUGGGAAUCUAGAGUGCGGGAGAGGAGAAUGGAAUUCCUAGUGUAGCGGUGAAAUGCGUAGAGAUUAGGAAGAACACCAGUGGCGAAGGCGAUUCUCUGGACCGUAACUGACGCUGAGGCAUGAAAGCGUGGGUAGCAAACAGGAUUAGAUACCCUGGUAGUCCACGCCGUAAACGAUGAGUACUAGGUGUAGGAGGUAUCGACCCCUUCUGUGCCGCAGUUAACACAAUAAGUACUCCGCCUGGGAAGUACGAUCGCAAGGUUAAAACUUAAAUGAA